GAGGCAGCAGUGGGGAAUAUUGCACAAUGGGCGCAAGCCUGAUGCAGCCAUGCCGCGUGUGUGAAGAAGGCCUUCGGGUUGUAAAGCACUUUCAGCGGGGAGGAAGGCGUUAAGGUUAAUAACCUUGGCGAUUGACGUUACCCGCAGAAGAAGCACCGGCUAACUCCGUGCCAGCAGCCGCGGUAAUACGGAGGGUGCAAGCGUUAAUCGGAAUUACUGGGCGUAAAGCGCACGCAGGCGGUCUGUCAAGUCGGAUGUGAAAUCCCCGGGCUCAACCUGGGAACUGCAUUCGAAACUGGCAGGCUAGAGUCUUGUAGAGGGGGGUAGAAUUCCAGGUGUAGCGGUGAAAUGCGUAGAGAUCUGGAGGAAUACCGGUGGCGAAGGCGGCCCCCUGGACAAAGACUGACGCUCAGGUGCGAAAGCGUGGGGAGCAAACAGGAUUAGAUACCCUGGUAGUCCACGCCGUAAACGAUGUCGAUUUGGAGGUUGUGCCCUUGAGGCGUGGCUUCCGGAGCUAACGCGUUAAAUCGACCGCCUGGGGAGUACGGCCGCAAGGUUAAAACUCAAAUGAAUUGACGGGGGCCCGCACAAGCGGUGGAGCAUGUGGUUUAAUUCGAUGCAACGCGAAGAACCUUACCUGGUCUUGACAUCCACAGAACUUUCCAGAGAUGGAUUGGUGCCUUCGGGAACUGUGAGACAGGUGCUGCAUGGCUGUCGUCAGCUCGUGUUGUGAAAUGUUGGGUUAAGUCCCGCAACGAGCGCAACCCUUAUCCUUUGUUGCCAGCGGUCCGGCCGGGAACUCAAAGGAGACUGCCAGUGAUAAACUGGAGGAAGGUGGGGAUGACGUCAAGUCAUCAUGGCCCUUACGACCAGGGCUACACACGUGCUACAAUGGCAUAUACAAAGAGAAGCGACCUCGCGAGAGCAAGCGGACCUCAUAAAGUAUGUCGUAGUCCGGAUUGGAGUCUGCAACUCGACUCCAUGAAGUCGGAAUCGCUAGUAAUCGUAGAUCAGAAUGCUACGGUGAAUACGUUCCCGGGCCUUGUACACACCGCCCGUCACACCAUGGGAGUGGGUUGCAAAAGAAGUAGGUAGCUUAACCUUCGGGAGGGCGCUUACCACUUUGUGAUUCAUGACUGGGGUGAAGUCGUAACAAGGUAACCGUAGGGGAACCUGCGGUUGGAUCACCUCCUUA
rnacentral:rRNA from 1 species